AUUGAACGCUGGCGGCAUGCCUUACACAUGCAAGUCGAACGGCAGCACGGGAGCAAUCCUGGUGGCGAGUGGCGAACGGGUGAGUAAUAUAUCGGAACGUGCCCAGUCGUGGGGGAUAACGCAGCGAAAGCUGUGCUAAUACCGCAUACGAUCUGUGGAUGAAAGCGGGGGACUCGCAAGGGCCUCGCGCGAUUGGAGCGGCCGAUAUCAGAUUAGCUAGUUGGUGGGGUAAAGGCCCACCAAGGCGACGAUCUGUAGCUGGUCUGAGAGGACGACCAGCCACACUGGAACUGAGACACGGUCCAGACUCCUACGGGAGGCAGCAGUGGGGAAUUUUGGACAAUGGGCGCAAGCCUGAUCCAGCAAUGCCGCGUGCAGGAUGAAGGCCUUCGGGUUGUAAACUGCUUUUGUACGGAGCGAAACGGUCUGCCCUAAUACGGUGGGCUAAUGACGGUACCGUAAGAAUAAGCACCGGCUAACUACGUGCCAGCCGCCGCUGUAACAC
rnacentral:rRNA from 1 species